rnacentral:sRNA from 1 species
GGGGCGGAACUGCUAGGUGGUCUGAGCCCGGCUUUGGGCUGGGGUCGGGCUGUCACACAAUGGCUAGAAGUCGUGACUUCGUCUCCUUCGUGCCGCAUGGUUUUCAACGCCCUUGACCCGCCGGUUCCUUUUGUUUGGGAAGCAUGGGGUCGCAUCCAGUCCUUCGGAUUUGGGGAAUAGAAGGGCUACAGCGGCGUCCCUAGGCCGUUCUGGAGGUCGCCUGUCCAGCCCUCGGCUGCUGCGAGUUGUGGCACCCACCUUGACCUUUGCUCAGACCAGCAGGUUCCUUCAGUGGUGCCUUAGCUGCUGUUCCUGUCCAGGACCUGGGCUCCACUGUCAUCAAAGAAGUCUUGAAGAGGGCCACUGUGGCUCCGGAAGAUGUGUCUGAGGUCAUCUUUGGACAUGUUUUGGCAGCAGGCUGUGGGCAGAAUCCUGUUAGACAAGCCAGUGUGGGUGCAGGAAUUCCCUACUCUGUUCCAGCAUGGAGCUGCCAGAUGAUCUGUGGGUCAGGCCUAAAAGCUGUGUGCCUUGCAGUCCAGUCAAUAGGGAUAGGAGACUCCAGCAUUGUGGUUGCAGGAGGCAUGGAAAAUAUGAGCAAGGCUCCUCACUUGGCUUACUUGAGAACAGGAGUAAAGAUAGGUGAGAUGCCACUGACUGACAGUAUACUCUGUGAUGGUCUUACAGAUGCAUUUCACAACUGUCAUAUGGGUAUUACAGCUGAAAAUGUAGCCAAAAAAUGGCAAGUGAGUAGAGAAGAUCAGGACAAGGUUGCAGUUCUGUCCCAGAACAGGACAGAGAAUGCACAGAAAGCUGGCCAUUUUGACAAAGAGAUUGUACCAGUUUUGGUGUCAACUA